GACGAACGCUGGCGGCGUGCCUAACACAUGCAAGUCGAACGGGGUUGAGUGCUUCGGUAUUCAACCUAGUGGCGAACGGGUGAGUAACGCGUGAAGAACCUGCCUUUCAGUGGGGGACAACAGUUGGAAACGACUGCUAAUACCGCCUGACGCUUCUUGGGGGCAUCCCCGAGAAGUCAAAGCUUUAUGUGCUGAAAGAUGGCUUCGCGUCUGAUUAGCUAGAUGGCGGGGUAACGGCCCACCAUGGCGACGAUCAGUAGCCGGUCUGAGAGGAUGAAAGGCAACAUUAGGACACAGACACUGCCAAGACGCCUACGGGAGGCAGCAGUGGGGAAUAUUGGGCAAUGGGGGAAACCCUGACCAAGCAACGCCGCGUGAAGGAAGAAGGCCUUCGGGUUGUAAACUUCUUUUACCAGGGACGAAGGACGUGACGGUACCUGGAGAAAAAGCAACUGCUAACUACGUGCCAGCAGCCGCUGUAA
rnacentral:rRNA from 1 species